rnacentral:rRNA from 1 species
GACGAACGCUGGCGGCGUGCUUAACACAUGCAAGUCGAACGGUGACCCUCGGAGCUUGCUUCGGGGUGAGCAGUGGCGAACGGGUGAGUAACACGUGAGUAACCUGCCCCUGACUCUGGAAUAAGCGCUGGAAACGGCGUCUAAUACCGGAUACGACACGCCUCCGCAUGGGGAGCGUGUGGAAAGUUUUUCGGUCUGGGAUGGACUCGCGGCCUAUCAGCUUGUUGGUGAGGUAAUGGCUCACCAAGGCGAUGACGGGUAGCCGGCCUGAGAGGGCGACCGGCCACACUGGGACUGAGGCACGGCCCAGACUCCUACGGGAGGCAGCAGUGGGGAAUAUUGCACAAUGGGCGAAAGCCUGAUGCAGCGACGCCGCGUGAGGGAUGACGGCCUUCGGGUUGUAAACCUCUUUCAGCAGGGAAGAAGCGAAAGUGACGGUACCUGCAGAAGAAGCACCGGCUAACUACGUGCCAGCCGCCGCCGUAACAC